rnacentral:lncRNA from 1 species
UUUAUUUUAUUUUAUUUUAUUUUAUUUUAUUUUAUUUUAUUUUAUUUUAUUUAUUUCCAGAGUCAGACAGCUAACUCACACAAGAGACAAGGAUCGAAUUUGUCCUGAUGAUUGCCUAAAUUCAAGUGCUCCUUUUUACUCAUUGCGAUUCUGCUUCUUGUUUACUGCCGGUGACAUCUGCAGAUUCUGAGAUGGAUGUAGAUCAGCGUCUCUGCUCAGAGGGUCCUAGCUUCUACUGACUGACCUUUACAAAUGUAACAACAAUAAUUAUCCUAUAAUUAGACACUCUAAGUCACAUUGUUGCUAAAGCUGUUGGUGUGGGAAGGAAGCAAGCAGUGCUUAAGGUAAGAGUUGAAGUCUUCUUCAUUGUCACACCAGAGGUAUUUGUGCCAAGUUGCUGGCAUUUCAUUAGGUGGUUGUUGGGGUUCCCUUUUAAUUGCAUCUCAUAAGUUAGUGAUUGCUGUUCAUGACUCAGUGAUUGUCCAUCCCAGGUCAUAGAGAGCAAAGGGCAUGUGGGGUAUCAUCAGAUUUCAUGUUCAUGCCACCAUUUUGGCCGCUGACAAACCACCCAAAGUCACUGUGCUGAUGUUCUGCCAUCCAUAUGACUUUAGUGGUGCACUUCAGUCUUUCCAGUUUUCACCCCAGAGCUCAAAAUGCAAAAGAUUCUGGUGAGACAUGGAGACGUUCUUGCAGAAGUGUCCAAUCUAUAACAAGGUUUGGAAGUGCAGCUCUGGAUUAAAGACACAGAGUGAAUCUGAUCAAUCUUUCCCAACAUGGGCUCUUCACUUCUUUGUCACCCACUCCCUGGUUGCUUCUU